rnacentral:pre_miRNA from 1 species
CAACUACUCCAUCUGUCCCAAAUUUCUUGUCUUAGAUUUGUCUAGAUACGGAUGUAUCUAAUACUAAAAUGUGACUUGAUACAUCUGUAUCUAGACAAAUCUAAGGCAAGAAUUUUGGGACGGAGGGAGUACUUU